AUGACGGACAGGGAUCAAGACAGCGAGCUUGCUGCCCUGGAGAAGGCGUUGCUCGAUGAAAGCGCGGAUCCAGCCGACCUACCUUUCACGCUUCUCAAGUCCAUCACAGGGAAUUUUUCUGAAGCUCAUGAAAUCGGCAGGGGCGGCUUCGGGGUGGUCUACAAGGGAGUGCUUCCAAGUGGCUGCACAAUUGCCGUGAAGAAGCUCCAUGAGACCUUUGAGAUCCUGGACAAGAAUUUCAAGAGCGAGGUCGCCUGUCUUGUCGGGGUCAAGCACAAGAACACGGUGCGAUUCCUCGGGUACUGCUCUGAGACGCAGCAGCUGAUGGUCCCGCUCCACGGAAACCUUGUCUGGGCAAGCGUGCGGCACAGGCUGCUCUGCUUCGAGUACCUGCCGAAAGGGUGCCUUGCUGACUAUCUCUCCGUAGAUGCAUCCUGUCCGCUUCAGUGGAUCACGAGUUAUCAAAUAAUCAAGGGGAUCUGUGAGGGCGUAUAUUAUCUUCACCAGCAGCAAAUUAUUCACAUGGACCUCAAACCUCAGAAUGUACUAUUGGAUGAUAAUAUGAUGCCCAAGAUUGCGGAUUUUGGUCUAUCACGGCGUUUAAGUGAAAGCCAGAGUUGGGAUAUUACUAAAAACAAUUUUGGGACGAUGUAA
rnacentral:rRNA from 1 species